GCGCUUUUGGAGCGGCCGAUGUCUGAUUAGCUAGUUGGUGAGGUAAAGGCUUACCAAGGCGUCGAUCAGUAGCUGGUCUGAGAGGACGACCAGCCACACUGGGACUGAGACACGGCCCAG
rnacentral:rRNA from 1 species